AAAUGGCAAAUGCCUCUCCGGGUGACAGCGUCCAGAAACAAGCAGCCUCUCACCCGGUGAGUGUGACAGAAACCUCACCCACAGCCAUGGCUGACAUCUGAGAGGUUUUCCGGGCAGCCUCCUUGAAGAGGUGAAGAUGGGCUCUGAAACAUUGGUAUGAAGGAGGUGAGAAGAGGGGAAAGACCAGUACUGAGGAAAGAGCUUUGAGAACUGAAGGCAGAAGCAGCUUGAAAACUGGAUGUAGCAAAGAUGAGAAGAGUGAUUAACAUAAACUAGGAGUGGAUGGUUAAUAAAGAUAUAUGCAGGAGGAGAGAGCUAACGUCAAAUGAAAAGAGUGCUGGUCUAGCAGUCAGGAGCCUUGAAUUCUAGUCCCAGCUCUGCCACAUCCAGGAUUUGUGCACGUCAUUUCCCUUCUGUGCCCAACUUCCAAAGGAAUGCUAAAGAUAGUGGACUCCAGCCUGCCACCAUACGUUCAUCCACCUGUAAUCAUUAAAAUACUCUUUCUUCUUUCUGUGUGUCAUACUAAUAAG
rnacentral:lncRNA from 1 species